UCACAGACAGCCACACCAACACCACACGCCGACGGUCAGCGAUAAAUCUGACUUCUCUAACGAAGGAUGCGGGGACUGUCAGUGCGGGAAACCCGGAGUCUCUCUCACUCUCCCUGCGAGUGAUUCUCUCUCUCUCACCUCUUUGGGUACAAGCUGGUUCUCUUCGCUGGGCACCAUUUCCAUUUGGGCGACAGCUAAGCGGACAUCUACCCGGGCUCCGAUGUCAACAGCAGCUCUUUGCGGCGGUGUGGAGGAACAUUAUUCGCGUUUCAGCCAAACUCCAGACCUCAUCAUGCCAUUUGCCCUGCGCUGAGAGAGAAAGAACAACACAGCUUUCUCGUUUGCCUCCUGUUGGUUCCUUCUUGGCAUGAUCCCAGUUGAAGUUUCGUGGCGUGGCCAAAGUCCCACCCUGGGCGAUGCAGUCCUCGUUGGCUUCAUGAUAGUGCUUGGGCUGUUCGACAGCAAGAUGGGACUGCUUUUCUGGAGCGGGAUGGACGGCCAAGUCCGAGAUGGAGCAGUGUGCAGCCAAGCAGCAAGACAAGAAGGAGGCGAGCAAAAGCCAUGACUGAAGUGAAGAGUGCCCCUGCACAAACAGGGGCUACAU